GAUGAACGCUGGCGGCGUGCCUAAUACAUGCAAGUCGAGCGAACAGACGAGGAGCUUGCUCCUCUGACGUUAGCGGCGGACGGGUGAGUAACACGUGGAUAACCUACCUAUAAGACUGGGAUAACUUCGGGAAACCGGAGCUAAUACCGGAUAAUAUAUUGAACCGCAUGGUUCAAUAGUGAAAGACGGUUUUGCUGUCACUUAUAGAUGGAUCUGCGCCGCAUUAGCUAGUUGGUAAGGUAACGGCUUACCAAGGCAACGAUGCGUAGCCGACCGGAGAGGGUGAUCGGCGGCACUGGAAGUGGAACACGGACCAGGGUCCUACGGGAGGGCGCAGUAGGGAACCUUAGGCAGUGGGGGAGAGCCUGACGGAGCAGCGCCGCGUGAGUGAUGACGGUCUUCGGAUCGUAAAACUCGGUUAUGAGGGAAGAACAGAUGUGUAAGUAGCUAUGCACGUAUUGACGGUACCUAAUCAGAAAGCCACGGCUAACUACGUG
rnacentral:rRNA from 1 species